rnacentral:rRNA from 1 species
UACGUAGAGUGCAGGCGUAAUCGGAAUUACUGGGCGUAAAGCGUGCGUAGGCGGUUUGUUAAGACAGGUGUGAAAUCCCCGGGCUUAACCUGGGAACUGCGCUUGUUACUGGCAGACUGGAGUGUGGCAGAGGGGGGUGGAAUUCCAGGUGUAGCAGUGAAAUGCGUAGAUAUCUGGAGGAACACCGAUGGCGAAGGCAGCCCCCUGGGCUAACACUGACGCUGAUGCACGAAAGCGUGGGGAGCAAACAGG